rnacentral:rRNA from 1 species
CCUACGUGUGGCAGCAGUGGGGAAUAUUGCACAAUGGGGGAAACCCUGAUGCAGCGACGCCGCGUGAGGGAAGAAGGAAUUCGGGAUGUAAAGCUCUAUCAGCAGGGAAGAAAAUGACGGUACCUGAGGAAGAAGCCGCGGCGAACUACGUGCCAGCAGCCGCGGUAAUACGGAGGGGGCAAGCGUUAUCCGGAGUUACUGGGUGGACAGGGAGCGUAGACGGCAGGGCAAGUCUGGAGUGAAAGGCGGGGGCGCAACCCCCGGACUGCUCUGGAAACUGUACGGCUGGAGUGCAGGAGAGGUAAGUGGACUUCCUAGUGUAGCGGUGAAAUGCGUCGAUAUUAGGAGGAACACCAGUGGCGAAGGCGGCUUACUGGACUGUAACUGACGUUGCGGCUCGAAAGCGUGGGGAGCAAACAGGAUUAGAUACCCUUGUAGUC